GAUGAACGCUGGCGGCGUGCCUAAUACAUGCAAGUCGAGCGAACAGACGAGGAGCUUGCUCCUCUGACGUUAGCGGCGGACGGGUGAGUAACACGUGGAUAACCUACCUAUAAGACUGGGAUAACUUCGGGAAACCGGAGCUAACACCGGAUAAUAUAUUGAACCGCAUGGUUCUUUAGUGAAAGACGGUUUUGCUGUCACUUAUAGAUGGAUCCGCGCCGCAUUAGCUAGUUGGUAAGGUAACGGCUUACCAAGGCGACGAUGCGUAGCCGACCUGAGAGGGUGAUCGGCCACACUGGAACUGAGACACGGUCCAGACGCCUACGGGAGGCAGCGGUAGGGAAUCUUGCGCAAUGGGCGAAAGCCUGACGGAGCAACGCCGCGUGAGUGAUGAAGGUCUUCGGAUCGUAAAACACUGUUAUUAGGGAAGAACAAAUGUGUAAGUAACUAUGCACGUCUUGACGGUACCUAAUCAGAAAGCCACGGCUAACUUCGGG
rnacentral:rRNA from 1 species